rnacentral:rRNA from 1 species
GAUGAACGCUGGCGGCGUGCCUAACACAUGCAAGUCGAGCGGCAGCGCGGGGUGCUUGCACCCUGUCGGCGAGCGGCGGACGGCUGAGUAACGCGUGGGAACGUUCCCCAAAGUGAGGAAUAACUGCCCGAAAGGGUAGCUAAUACCGCAUAUUAUCUUCGGAUCAAAGGAUUUAUCCGCUUUGGGAGCGGCUCGCGUCGGAUUAGGUAGUUGGUGAGGUAAUGGCUCACCAAGCCGACGAUCCGUAGCUGGUCUGAGAGGAUGACCAGCCAGACUGGAACUGAGACACGGUCCAGACUCCUACGGGAGGCAGCAGUGAGGAAUCUUCCACAAUGGGCGAAAGCCUGAUGGAGCAACGCCGCGUGAAGGACGAAGGCAUUCGGGUUGUAAACUGCUUUUAUAAGUGAGGAAUAUGACGGUAACUUAUGAAUAAGAAUCGGCUAACUACGUG